AGCAGUGAUGAGUAAGAUGUAUUCUGACUUGGUAUUGCUGGAUGCAAGUCCACAUUGACCACGAAAUGAUAACGUAAUCUUCUCUCUGAGCUG